CACGAACGCUGGCGGCAGGCUUAACACAUGCAAGUCGAGCGCCCCGCAAGGGGAGCGGCAGACGGGUGAGUAACGCGUGGGAAUCUACCCAUCUCUACGGAAUAACGCAUGGAAACGUGUGCUAAUACCGUAUACGUCCUUCGGGAGAAAGGUUUAUCGGAGAUGGAUGAGCCCGCGUUGGAUUAGCUAGUUGGUGGGGUAAAGGCCUACCAAGGCGACGAUCCAUAGCUGGUCUGAGAGGAUGAUCAGCCACACUGGGACUGAGACACGGCCCAGACUCCUACGGGAGGCAGCAGUGGGGAAUAUUGGACAAUGGGCGCAAGCCUGAUCCAGCCAUGCCGCGUGAGUGAUGAAGGCCCUAGGGUUGUAAAGCUCUUUCACCGGUGAAGAUGAUGACGGUAACCGGAGAAGAAGCCCCGGCUAACUUCGUGCCAGCCGCCGCAGUAAAAC
rnacentral:rRNA from 1 species